GACGAACGCUGGCGGCGUGCCUAACACAUGCAAGUCGAACGGGACCGCAAGGUUCAGUGGCGAACGGGUGCGUAACACGUGAGAAACGUAGCCAUCGGCGGGGGAUAGCCGGUCCAACGACCGGGUAAUACCGCGUACGACCUUCGGGUGGCGAUCACCUGGAGGUGAAAGACAGCAAUGCGCCGAUGGGGCGGUCUCGCGGCCUAUCAGCUAGUUGGUGAGGUAACGGCUCACCAAGGCAACGACGGGUAGCUGGUCCGAGAGGAUGACCAGCCACAUUGGGACUGAGACACGGCCCA
rnacentral:rRNA from 1 species